rnacentral:rRNA from 1 species
UUUCCAUGUGUAGCGGUGAAAUGCGUAGAGAUAUGGAGGAACACCAGUGGCGAAGGCGACUUUCUGGUCUGUAACUGACACUGAGGCGCGAAAGCGUGGGGAGCAAACAGGAUUAGAUACCCUGGUAGUCCACGCCGUAAACGAUGAGUGCUAAGUGUUAGAGGGUUUCCGCCCUUUAUUGCUGAAGUUAACGCAUUAAGCACUCCGCCUGCCGAGUACGGCCGCAAGGCUGAAACUCACAGGAAUUGAC